rnacentral:tRNA from 1 species
GCCCGAGUGGCGGAAUUGGUAGACGCGUCGGUCUCAAAAACCGAUGAGGUAACACUUGUGCCGGUUCGAUCCCGGCCUCGGGUA